CUCCGUGCUGCCUCCAUGUCACCGAACCAGGGGCACAGACGCCCCCUGCAGGCAGGUCUCACCAUCUCCGUGCUGCCUCCAUGUAACCCAACCAGGGGCACAGACGCCCCCUGCUAGCAGGUCUCACCAUCUCCGUGCUGCCUCCAUGUCACCACACCAGGGGCACAGACGCCCCCUGCAGGCAGGUCUCACCAUCUCCGUGCUGCCUCCAUGUCACCGAACCAGGGGCACAGACGCCCCCUGCAGGCAGGUCUCACCAUCUCCGUGCUGCCUCCAAGUAACCCAACCAGGGGCACCGACGCCCCCUGCAGGCAGGUCUCACCAUCUCCGUGCUGCCUCCAUGUCACCGAACCAGGGGCACAGACGCCCCCUGCAGGCAGGUCUCACCAUCUCCGUGCUGCCUCCAUGUCACCACACGAGGGGCACAGACGCCCCCUGCAGGCAGGUCUCACCAUCUCCGUGCUGCCUCCAAGUAACCCAACCAGGGGCACCGACGCCCCCUGCAGG